rnacentral:rRNA from 1 species
GCUUAACACAUGCAAGUCGAACGGCAGCACGGGAGCUUGCUCCUGGUGGCGAGUGGCGAACGGGUGAGUAAUGUAUCGGAACGUACCCAGUAAUGGGGGAUAACCAUCCGAAAGGAUGGCUAAUACCGCAUACGCCCUGAGGGGGAAAGCGGGGGACCUGAAAGGGCCUCGCGCGAUUGGAGCGGCCGAUAUCGGAUUAGCUAGUUGGUGGGGUAAAGGCUCACCAAGGCGACGAUCCGUAGCGGGUCUGAGAGGACGACCCGCCACACUGGAACUGAGACACGGUCCAGACUCCUACGGGAGGCAGCAGUGGGGAAUUUUGGACAAUGGGGGCAACCCUGAUCCAGCCAUUCCGCGUGAGUGAAGAAGGCCUUCGGGUUGUAAAGCUCUUUCAGCAGGAACGAAACGGUCGGCUUUAAUAAAGUUGGCUAAUGACGGUACCUGCAGAAGAAGCACCGGCUAACUACGUGCCAGCAGCCGCGGUAAUAC